GAUGAACGCUGGCGGCGUGCCUAAUACAUGCAAGUCGAGCGAACAGACGAGGAGCUUGCUCCUUUGACGUUAGCGGCGGACGGGUGAGUAACACGUGGAUAACCUACCUAUAAGACUGGGAUAACUUCGGGAAACCGGAGCUAAUACCGGAUAACAUGUUGAACCGCAUGGUUCAACAGUGAAAGACGGUCUUGCUGUCACUUAUAGAUGGAUCCGCGCCGCAUUAGCUAGUUGGUAAGGUAACGGCUUACCAAGGCAACGAUGCGUAGCCGACCUGAGAGGGUGAUCGGCCACACUGGAACUGAGACACGGUCCAGACUCCUACGGGAGGCAGCAGUAGGGAAUCUUCCGCAAUGGGCGAAAGCCUGACGGAGCAACGCCGCGUGAGUGAAGAAGGACUUCGGAUCGUAAAACUCUGUUAUUAGGGAAGAACAAAUGUGUAAGUAACUAUGCACGUCUUGACGGUACCUAAUCAGAAAGCCACGGCUAACUACGUG
rnacentral:rRNA from 1 species